rnacentral:snRNA from 1 species
GUGCUCACUUUGGUGGCACAUAUACUAAAAUUGGAAUGAUACAGGGAAGAUUAGCAGGGCCUCUGCACAA